rnacentral:lncRNA from 1 species
GUCCCCGCUGCCCCCCGCCCUCACCUGCCGCAGCGCCGCCUCCAGCCGGGCCUGCUUGGACAGGGAGAGUUUGCAAACCAGGUCCCAGCGGGUGCUGAGCUCCUCCACCUGCCGCUGCAGCCACUGCGAGUCCACGCUGCUGCUGCCGCGGGUCAGGUCCCGCACCGAGCGCUUCAGCGUCUUGAUGCAGCUGGCGCGUUUGCCCAGCUCCUUCUGGAACACCUGGAGGGAGGGCAGGGCGUGGGACAGGGUCUCACCUGAACCCCACUGCUGUGCAGGGCUCCCCUGAACCCCAAACCCUCACAGGAGCGGGCACGGAGCUCUGCUGAACCCCAAAACCUCACAGGAACAGGCACAGGGCUCUGCUGAACCCCAAAACCUCACAGGAACAGGCACAGGGCUCUCCUGAACCCCAAAACCUCACAGGAGCGGGCACGGGGCUCCCCUGAAUCCCAAAACCCUCACAGGAACAGGCACAGGGCUCUCCUGAACCCCAAAACCUCACAGCAGUGGGCACAGCGCUCUCCUGAACCCCAAACCUUCACAGGACCGGGCACAGGGUUCCUGUGCACCCCAAACCCUCACAGCAGCGGGCACGGGGCUCUCCUGCACCCCAAAACCUCAUGGGAGCGGUCACAGGGCUCCCCUGAACCCCGAACCCUCACAGCUCUGGGGUACGUGGGGCCCCCCAGCGCUGACACAGGGCGAGGGGCUCGAGCUGAGCUCAAGCCGGGCUGAAGCUGGGUACAAGCUGGGCUCAAACUGGGCUCAAUCUGGGCUCAAGCCGGGCACAAGCCGGGCUCAAUCUGGGCUCAAUCUGGGCUCAAUCUGGGCUCAAACCGGACACAAGCCGGGCUCAAUCUGGGCUCAAUCUGGGCUCAAGUCGGGCUCAAUCUGGGCACAAGCCGGGCUCAAUCUGGGCACAAGCCGGGCUAAAUCUGGGCACAAACCGGGCUCAAUCUGGGCUCAAACCGGGCUCAAUCUGGGCACAAACCGGGCUCAAUCUGGGCUCAAGCCGGGCACAAGCUGCUCAAGCCGGGCUCAAGCAGGGCACAAGCUGGGCUCAAACCGGGCUCAAGCUGGGCUCAAUCUGGGUUCAAGCCGGGCUCAAACUGUUCAAGCUGGGGUCAAGCCGGGCUCAAUCUGGGCUCAAACUGCUCAUUCUGGGCAAAAGCCGGGCUCAAGCCAGGCUCAAGCCAAGCUGGAGGCAGCGGGCAGUGCCCGUCCUGUGCCCGGCUCCGCUCCUGGCCCAGAGGGAGGCCGGGCUCAGCCCGGCGCUCCUGGGUCCCCUCUCGCCCCGGGGCCACUCACCUUGUGCUUGUCCAUGAGGUCCCCGACCAGGUCGCGGUCGCCCCCGACGGGCGCGUCCUCGCUGAGCUGCGGCUCGGCGCGGUACAGCCAGUCCAUCAGCGCCUGCAGCGCGUCCGUGAACUUCCCCGAGAAGAGCAGGUUCUCCUCCAGCUUGUGCUGCCUGCCGGGGGCACGGGACAUGCUGCGGGGGCACCCGGCUGCUGGGGGGCACCCCAUGGAGCCGCCCCGCGGAGCUGCAGUGUCCGCAGGGACGGGGACAGGUCCUGGCAGCGUUAUUAUGGACAGGGACAGGUCCUGGCAGUGGCAUUAUGGACUGGGACAGGUCCUGGCAGUGCCGUUAUGGACAGGGACAGGUCCUGGCAGUGCCCACAGGGACAGGGACAGGUCCUGGCAGUGGCAUUAUGGACAGGGACAGGUCCUGGCAGUG